AACGAACGCUGGCGGCAGGCUUAACACAUGCAAGUCGAACGCCCCGCAAGGGGAGUGGCAGACGGGUGAGUAAAACGUGGGAACAUGCCCAAAGGUACGGAAUAUUCUCGGGAAACUGGGAGCAAUACCGUAUGAGCCCGAAAGGGGAAAGAUUUAUCGCCUUUGGAUUGGCCCGCGUCGGAUUAGCUAGUUGGUGGGGGAAUGGCCUACCAAGGCGACGAUCCGUAGCUGGUCUGAGAGGACGACCAGCCACACUGGGACUGAGACACGGCCCAGAUUCCUACGGGAGGCAGCAGUGGGGAAUCUUGUACAAUGGGAGCAAGCCUGAUCCAGCCAUGCCGCGUGGAUGAUGAAGGCCCUAGGGUUGUAAAAUCCUUUCGUUGGGGACGAUAAUGACGGUACCCAAAGAAGAAGCUCCGGCUAACUUCGUGCCAGCAGCCGCCGUAAUAC
rnacentral:rRNA from 1 species